rnacentral:lncRNA from 1 species
AAUUUGGAGCGAAUCGAGCUUGGUUUGGUCGCCCUAAGCCGAAGCUUCUUAUUUAUUGAUCUUGCCCAGCGUUAGGGAGGGGUUUUCCCUCUCCUCAUCAAAAACGACUUCGUCAUAGGUUUUCCCCCUUCCUUUCGCGCAACCUGAUCUAAAUUUCGUCGUAAAUAAGGAGACCUUCGCUAAGCAUGUCAACGCCCGUACGGGAGCGGAUUGCCGAUGGAUGGAGGCGGCUGCAUCUAAGAGUUUAGUUCCAGGAGACUGAACAACAUGGCCUGAAGCAGGAUAGACUCAUUGAGGGAGNNN